rnacentral:rRNA from 1 species
UACGGAGGGGGCUAGCGUUAUUCGGAAUUACUGGGCGUAAAGCGCACGUAGGCGGCUUUGUAAGUAAGAGGUGAAAGCCCGGAGCUCAACUCCGGAACUGCCUUUUAGACUGCAUCGCUUGAAUCCAGGAGAGGGAAGUGGAAUUCCCGGUGUAGUGGUGAAAUGCGUAGAGAUGCGGAGGAACACCGAUGGCGAAGGCAGCCCCCUGGGCUAACACUGACGCUCAGGCACGAAAGCGUGGGGAGCAAACAGG